CCUACGGGUGGCAGCAGUGGGGAAUAUUGCACAAUGGGGGGAACCCUGAUGCAGCGACGCCGCGUGAGUGAAGAAGUAUUUCGGUAUGUAAAGCUCUAUCAGCAGGGAAGAAAAGGACGGUACCUGACUAAGAAGCCCCGGCUAACGACGUGCCAGCAGCCGCGGUAAAACGAAGGGGGCAAGCGUUAUCCGGAUUUACUGGGUGUAAAGGGAGCGUAGACGGUUCUGCAAGUCUGCCGUGAAAGCCAAAGGCUCACCCCUGGGACUGCUUUGGAAACUGUAAAACUGUAGUUCAGGAGAGGUCAGCGGGCUUCCUAGUCUAGCGGUGACAUUCGUAGAUCUUAGGCG
rnacentral:rRNA from 1 species